UACGUAGGGUGCAAGCGUUAAUCGGAAUUACUGGGCGUAAAGCGUGCGCAGGCGGUGAUGUAAGUCAGGUGUGAAACCUCCAGGCUCAACCUGGAGACGCCACCUGAUACUGCUGUGGCUAGAGUCCGGUAGGGGAGCGUGGAAUUCCUGGUGUAGCGGUGAAAUGACGCAGAUAUCAGGAGGAACACCGGUGGCGAAGGCGGGUCUCUGGGCCGAUACUGACGCUGGAGGAGCGAAAGCGUGGGGAGCGAACAGG
rnacentral:rRNA from 1 species